rnacentral:rRNA from 1 species
GACGAACGCUGGCGGCGUGCUUAACACAUGCAAGUCGAACGCUGAACCCGCUUCGGUGGGGGAUGAGUGGCGAACGGGUGAGUAACACGUGGGCAACCUGCCCCCGGCUCUGGGAUAACUCCAAGAAAUCGGGGCUAAUACCGGAUGUGACCGCUGGCCGCAUGGUCUGGUGGUGGAAAGGGUUUCCGGCUGGGGAUGGGCCCGCGGCCUAUCAGCUUGUUGGUGGGGUAGUGGCCUACCAAGGCGACGACGGGUAGCCGGCCUGAGAGGGUGACCGGCCACACUGGGACUGAGACACGGCCCAGACUCCUACGGGAGGCAGCAGUGGGGAAUAUUGCGCAAUGGGCGGAAGCCUGACGCAGCGACGCCGCGUGGGGGAUGACGGCCUUCGGGUUGUAAACCUCUUUCAGCAGGGACGAAGCGCAAGUGACGGUACCUGCAGAAGAAGCACCGGCCAACUACGUG